AACGAACGCUGGCGGCAUGCCUAACACAUGCAAGUCGAACGAGACAUUCGGGUCUAGUGGCGCACGGGUGCGUAACGCGUGGGAACCUGCCCUUAGGUUCGGAAUAACUCCCCGAAAGGGGUGCUAAUACCGGAUAAUGUCUUCCGACCAAAGAUUUAUCGCCUUUGGAUGGGCCCGCGUUGGAUUAGCUAGUUGGUAGGGUAAAAGCCUACCAAGGCGACGAUCCAUAGCUGGUCUGAAAGGAUGAUCAGCCACACUGGGACUGAGACACGGCCCAGACUCCUACGGGACGCAGCAGAGAGGAAUAUUGGACCAUGGGCGAAAGCCUGAUGCAGCAAUGCCGCGUGAGUGAUGAAGGCCUUAGGGAUGUAAAGCUCUUUUACCCGAGAUGAUAAUGACAGUACCGGGAGAAUAAGCACCGGCUAACUACGUG
rnacentral:rRNA from 1 species